GGUCAAGUGAAGAAGCGCAUACGGUGGAUGCCUUGGCAGUCAGAGGCGAUGAAAGACGUGGUAGCCUGCGAAAAGCUUCGGGGAGUCGGCAAACAGACUUUGAUCCGGAGAUGUCUGAAUGGGGGAACCCAGCCAUCAUAAGAUGGUUAUCACACACUGAAUACAUAGGUGUGUGAGGCGAACCAGGGGAACUGAAACAUCUAAGUACCCUGAGGAAAAGAAAUCAACCGAGAUUCCCUUAGUAGUGGCGAGCGAACGGGGACUAGCCCUUAAGCUUCUUUGAUUUUAGCGGAACGCUCUGGAAAGUGCGGCCAUAGUGGGUGAUAGCCCUGUACGCGAAAGGAUCUUAGAAGUGAAAUCGAGUAGGACGGAGCACGAGAAACUUUGUCUGAACAUGGGGGGACCAUCCUCCAAGGCUAAAUACUACUGACUGACCGAUAGUGAACCAGUACCGUGAGGGAAAGGCGAAAAGAACCCCGGAGAGGGGAGUGAAAUAGAACCUGAAACCGUAUGCGUACAAGCAGUGGGAGCCUACUUUGUUAGGUGACUGCGUACCUUUUGUAUAAUGGGUCAGCGACUUAUUUUCAGUGGCGAGCUUAACCGAAUAGGGGAGGCGUAGCGAAAGCGAGUCUUAAUAGGGCGUCUAGUCGCUGGGAAUAGACCCGAAACCGGGCGAUCUAUCCAUGGGCAGGUUGAAGGUUAGGUAACACUGACUGGAGGACCGAACCGACUACCGUUGAAAAGUUAGCGGAUGACCUGUGGAUCGGAGUGAAAGGCUAAUCAAGCUCGGAGAUAGCUGGUUCUCCUCGAAAGCUAUUUAGGUAGCGCCUCGUGUAUCACUGCUGGGGGUAGAGCACUGUUUCGGCUAGGGGGUCAUCCCGACUUACCAAACCGAUGCAAACUCCGAAUACCAGCAAGUGUCAGCACGGGAGACACACGGCGGGUGCUAACGUCCGUCGUGAAAAGGGAAACAACCCAGACCGUCAGCUAAGGUCCCAAAGUCAUGGUUAAGUGGGAAACGAUGUGGGAAGGCUUAGACAGCUAGGAGGUUGGCUUAGAAGCAGCCAUCCUUUAAAGAAAGCGUAAUAGCUCACUAGUCGAGUCGGCCUGCGCGGAAGAUGUAACGGGGCUCAAACCAUGCACCGAAGCUACGGGUUCAACG
rnacentral:rRNA from 1 species